rnacentral:lncRNA from 1 species
CAGUACCUCUACUUAAUCUUCUCGGACGAUUCACUCAUGAGUUUAGAUGAAUGGGUCUUCAAUACAGAAGCACAUCCACUUCCUAUAGCUGGCAAAAAACUCAUUUUACCGGAAAGUUCAAGAAUCCGAGAACCAGUGGUAAGACAUCGAAACGAGACUUUUGAGGAAGCUUCACUGUCACUAAUAAACAGUGGAAUGUGA